rnacentral:rRNA from 1 species
GAUGAACGCUGGCGGCGUGCCUAAUACAUGCAAGUCGUGCGAACAGACGAGGAGCUUGCUCCUCUGACGUUAGCGGCGGACGGGUGAGUAACACGUGGAUAACCUACCUAUAAGACUGGGAUAACUUCGGGAAACCGGAGCUAAUACCGUAUAAUAUAUUUAACCGCAUGGUUCAAUAGUGAAAGACGGUUUUGCUGUUAAUUAUAGAUGGUUCCGCGCCGCAUUAGCUAGUUGGUAAGGUAACGGCUUACAAAGGCGACGAUGCGUAGCCGACCUCAGAGGGUGAUCGGCCACACUGGAACUUAGACACGGUCCAGACUCCUACGGGAGGCAGCAGUAGGGAAUCUUCCGCAAUGGGCGAAAGCCUGACGGAGCAACGCCGCGUGAGUGAUGAAGGUCUUCGGAUCGUAAAACUCUGUCAUUAGGGAAGAACAAAUGUGUAAGUAACUAUGCACGUCUUGACGGUACCUAAUCAGAAAGCCACGGCUAACUACGUG